rnacentral:rRNA from 1 species
AUUGAACGCUGGCGGCAGGCUUAACACAUGCAAGUCGAGCGGAGAGAGAAGCUUGCUUCUCUUGAGAGCGGCGGACGGGUGAGUAAUGCCUAGGAAUCUGCCUGAUAGUGGGGGAUAACGUCCGGAAACGGACGCUAAUACCGCAUACGUCCUACGGGAGAAAGUGGGGGCUCUUCGGACCUCACGCUAUCAGAUGAGCCUAGGUCGGAUUAGCUAGUUGGUGGGGUAAAGGCUCACCAAGGCGACGAUCCGUAACUGGUCUGAGAGGAUGAUCAGUCACACUGGAACUGAGACACGGUCCAGACUCCUACGGGAGGCAGCAGUGGGGAAUAUUGGACAAUGGGCGAAAGCCUGAUCCAGCCAUGCCGCGUGUGUGAAGAAGGUCUUCGGAUUGUAAAGCACUUUAAGUUGGGAGGAAGGGUCGUUACCUAAUACGUGACGAUUUUGACGUUACCGACAGAAUAAGCACCGGCUAACUCUGUGCCAGCAGCCGCCGUAACAC